rnacentral:rRNA from 1 species
CUGUUUAUCAAAAACAUGGCUUGAAGAUUAUAAUUUUAAGUCAAUCUGCCCAAUGAUUAUAAAAUUAAAUGGCUGCAGUAUAACUAACUGUACAAAGGUAGCAUAAUCAAUUGUUUUUUAAUUGAAAACUUGUAUGAAAGAAUUAAUGAGAUAUAUACUGUCUCAUAUAUAUAAAAUGAAUUUAAAUUUUUAGUAAAAAUGCUUAAAUAAUUUUAUGGGACGAUAAGACCCUAUAGAAUUUUAUAUUAAAAUUUUAUUAAUUAUUUAGUUAAAAUUUUAAUAUUUAGUUGGGAGGAUUAGUAAAUAAAAUUAACUUUAUUUUAAAAAUAAACUUUGAUUUAAGAAUAAAAUUUUGAUCUUAUAUUAUAAAUUAAAAGAAUAAAUUACCUUAGGGAUAACAGCGUAAUAUCUUUUUAAAGAUCAUAUUAAUAAAGAUGUUUGCGACCUCGAUGUUGAAUUAAGAUAAAUUUUAAAUGAAGAAAUUUAAAAAUUAAGUCUGUUCGACUUUUAAAAUCUUACAUGAUUUGAGUUCAAAUCGACGUGAGUCAGAUUGGUUUCUAUCUAUAA